rnacentral:rRNA from 1 species
UUUAUGGAGAGUUUGAUCCUGGCUCAGGAUGAACGCUGGCGGCGUGCCUAAUACAUGCAAGUCGAGCGAACGGACGAGAAGCUUGCUUCUCUGAUGUUAGCGGCGGACGGGUGAGUAACACGUGGAUAACCUACCUAUAAGACUGGGAUAACUUCGGGAAACCGGAGCUAAUACCGGAUAAUAUUUUGAACCGCAUGGUUCAAAAGUGAAAGACGGUCUUGCUGUCACUUAUAGAUGGAUCCGCGCUGCAUUAGCUAGUUGGUAAGGUAACGGCUUACCAAGGCAACGAUGCAUAGCCGACCUGAGAGGGUGAUCGGCCACACUGGAACUGAGACACGGUCC